AUUGAACGCUGGCGGCAGGCCUAACACAUGCAAGUCGAACGAGUGGCGGACGGGUGAGUAAUGUCUGGGAAACUGCCUGAUGGAGGGGGCUACCUACUGGAAACGGUAGCUAAUACCGCAUACCAUCGGAUGUGCCCAGAUGGGAUUAGCUAGUAGGUGGGGUAAAGGCUCACCUAGGCGACGAUCCCUAGCGGGCCUGAGAGGAUGACCGGCCAAACGGGAACUGAGACAGGGUCCAGAAUCCUACGUGAGGCAGCAGGGGGGAAUAUUGCACAAUGGGCGAAAGCAUGAUGCAGACAGGCCGCGUGUAUGAAGAAGGCCUUCGGGUUGUAAAUUACUGUCAGCGGGGAGACGUUACCCGCAGAAGAAGCACCGGCUAACUCCGUGCCAGCCGCCGCGGUAAUAC
rnacentral:rRNA from 1 species